ensembl:lncRNA
GUGUAAUCACAGGGUCCUUGUAAGUAAUAGAGGGAGACAGCAGGGUGGAGUUAGAGUGAUACAAUGUGAGAAAGUCCAGCCACCACUGACUUUGAAGAUGGAGCAAGCCAAGGAUUGUGGGAAGCUGGAAAUGGAUCCUGCCUUGCAGCCUUCAGAAAGGAACGCAGCCCCACCCUUACUUCGGUUUUAGGCCAGUGAGACCCAUGUGAUUCUUCUGACUAAAGAAGAGGAAGAUUAUAAAAGUGUGUUGUCUUAAGCUACUAGAUGUGUGCUGAUUUGUUGCAGCAGCAAUGGGAAAUGCCAAGACUCCCUCAGAAAACCCACACCCAGAGAGAGCUUCCUGCUUUCCAGAGCAGCUGUGGCCUGGAUUCCAGCCUCCAUCUCUGGGUUGGCCAGGAGAAGCCCUGGGCCCACACAGCUCUCCCUUACUCACGCCAGGAGGGACUAACACAGAUGAAGGUAUUUCACACAACAAAUACAACUCAACCAUGAGGAAGACGGAGCUGCCCCUCCAUUCAACCACACGAGCCAGCGUCACAAGCAAACUGUUGGGUUCCUUGUCAGCUGGGACCUUAGUUCUCCAGGGAUUGAAACUGAAUCCCCUGCUGUGGAAGGCAGAAUCUCAACCGCUGGACUGCUGGGGAG